GGGGGGAGGCCAGAUCCUGGGCUGUGUCCCGGCACCCUGUGCUCCUGGGCCUGCGCUGUUGGAUUCGCGCUCCCGCCCCGCAGCCCCUU
rnacentral:pre_miRNA from 1 species